GUGUCAGCAGCCGCGGUAAUACGUAGGUGGCGAGCGUUGUCCGGAAUUAUUGGGCGUAAAGAGCAUGUAGGCGGCUUAAUAAGUCGAGCGUGAAAAUGCGGGGCUCAACCCCGUAUGGCGCUGGAAACUGUUAGGCUUGAGUGCAGGAGAGGAAAGGGGAAUUCCCAGUGUAGCGGUGAAAUGCGUAGAUAUUGGGAGGAACACCAGUGGCGAAGGCGCCUUUCUGGACUGUGUCUGACGCUGAGAUGCGAAAGCCAGGGUAGCGAACGGGAUUAGAUACCCCGGUAGUCCUGGCCGUAAACGAUGGGUACUAGGUGUAGGAGGUAUCGACCCCUUCUGUGCCGGAGUUAACGCAAUAAGUACCCCGCCUGGGGAGUACGGCCGCAAGGUUGAAACUUAAAUGAAUUGGCGG
rnacentral:rRNA from 1 species